rnacentral:lncRNA from 1 species
GAAUGUCCCCAGCUUCCUCCUGCAGGGGACUGGAAAAUCACCAGGGAGCACUCUUGACCUGGACCAAGGAAUGGGAUUAAAAGGCUACAAUUUGUCUCACUUCAACAAAGAUCCCUCUUCAGCCCAGGGAAUUGCCAAGGAAAACAAGAGGGAGAAUUCAGCAUUAAAGGGCUACCAUGGAAGAAUGGAUAAAGUACUAUAUAUGAAGUAAGGAAGACCUGGGGUUGAAUCCUGCUUCAGACUCUUUAUAGCUGUAUGACUAUGAGAGAAACUGAGGUUUUUCCAAUAAAGCAGAGAAACUUUCUACUUCCUCAUCCAGCCUUCCUCAGACUUUCCUCCAUCCAUAUAAAAGAAAGGAGUCCAGGAGGCUUGACCAUGUGCCCAGCAUCCAGGGACCCCAGCUGGUACUGCUUACUCCCCCUGACCCGUGAACUGAGUAGUCUGCGCCCUAGUAGUUCUACAAGCCAAGCUCUGGCUAAUUCUUCUCCACCUACAAGGCAGAUUGUGCCCCUUUCUGGGCUUCCUUUUCACCCUGGAUCUCAUGACUGGCAACUGAUUCAGACUGAUUAUGGUUCUGCCUAUAAGAAGCCAUCUGAAAUGCUCCCACUCCCUAGUUGACCCCAACCGACUGCCAGCUCCCCCCUUGGUGAUGAGGAUGCUGGGGAGAACAGUUUCUGCCACAGCCAAAUUUUACAACGCUGGAGAGCCACAGACCAUGAAGAUCCCCUGUUUGUCAGGGGCUGCGUCUGGUAACUGGGAAAUGAUCUGAGUAAUAAUUGUGGGAUCCAAUUAUCCUCCCUAGCCUGAUCGGGCAUGAACUGGAAAUUCCCUAUAAUAUUGUCUAAUUAAAUUAUUCCUCACCUCCUCCCCCUUUUAUAGACGCCUU